GGGCUGCCCCAAACACUUUUUGAGCUUCACUAUCAGCCGAUUUUCUACAGUGAUCGACUAUUCUCCGAAUCUCUUUCAGACUUCUUCCAGCCGCGAACGACUUUACUCCGAGCUUCUAACAGACUUCGUCAAUGUCCGAGCUUCCCCAACAGUAGGACUUCUACAGUAACCAGACUCUAUCCAAGUUUCUACGAUGGUCGACUGCCUUUCGAAUUUCAUCCGAGCUCCUAUAAGAGUCGGAUCCCAGCC
rnacentral:lncRNA from 1 species